GAUGAACGCUGGCGGCGUGCCUAAUACAUGCAAGUCGAGCGAGCAGACGAGGAGCUUGCUCCUCUGACGUUAGCGGCGGACGGGUGAGUAACACGUGGAUAACCUACCUAUAAGACUGGGAUAACUUCGGGAAACCGGAGCUAAUACCGGAUAAUAUAUUGAACCGCAUGGUUCAAUAGUGAAAGACGGUUUUGCUGUCACUUAUAGAUGGAUCCGCACCGCAUUAGCUAGUUGGUAAGGUAACGGCUUACCAAGGCAACGAUGCGUAGCCGACCUGGGGGGGGGGUGGCCCCCCCGGGACCUGAACCCCGGCCCAGGCCCCGAGGGGGGGCCCAGAUGGGGACUCUUCCCAAAAGGGGGAAAGCCUGCCGGGCCAACGGCGGGUGGGGGAAGAAGUCCUGCGGUUUGGAAAACUGUGUUUUUGGGGAAAAACAAAUGUGAAUGUAACUAAGCCCGUUUUACGGGUACCUAUACAGAAGCCCCGGCUAACCACCUG
rnacentral:rRNA from 1 species